GUAAAGCCCUUUUGUUGGGAAAGAAAUCCAGCCGGCUAAUACCUGGUUGGGAUGACGGUACCCAAAGAAUAAGCACCGGCUAACUUCGUGCCAGCAGCCGCGGUAAUACGAAGGGUGCAAGCGUUACUCGGAAUUACUGGGCGUAAAGCGUGCGUAGGUGGUUAUUUAAGUCCGUUGUGAAAGCCCUGGGCUCAACCUGGGAACUGCAGUGGAUACUGGAUGACUAGAAUGUGGUAGAGGGUAGCGGAAUUCCUGGUGUAGCAGUGAAAUGCGUAGAGAUCAGGAGGAACAUCCAUGGCGAAGGCAGCUACCUGGACCAACAUUGACACUGAGGCACGAAAGCGUGGGGAGCAAACAGGAUUAGAUACCCUGGUAGUCCACGCCCUAAACGAUGCGAACUGGAUGUUGGGUGCAAUUUGGCACGCAGUAUCGAAGCUAACGCGUUAAGUUCGCCGCCUGGGGAGUACGGUCGCAAGACUGAAACUCAAAGGAAUUGACGG
rnacentral:rRNA from 1 species